UACGAGGGGAGCAAGCGUUGUUCGGAUUUACUGGGCGUAAAGGGCUCGUAGGUGGCCAACUAAGUCAGACGUGAAAUCCCUCAGCUUAACUGGGGAACUGCGUCUGAUACUGGAUGGCUUGAGUUUGGGAGAGGGAUGCGGAAUUCCAGGUGUAGCGGUGAAAUGCGUAGAUAUCUGGAGGAACACCGGUGGCGAAGGCGGCAUCCUGGACCGAUACUGACACUGAGGAGCGAAAGCCAGGGAGCAAACGGG
rnacentral:rRNA from 1 species